rnacentral:rRNA from 1 species
AUUGAACGCUGGCGGCAGGCCUAACACAUGCAAGUCGAACGGUAACAGGAAGAAGCUUGCUUCUUUGCUGACGAGUGGCGGACGGGUGAGUAAUGUCUGGGAAACUGCCUGAUGGAGGGGGAUAACUACUGGAAACGGUAGCUAAUACCGCAUAACGUCGCAAGACCAAAGAGGGGGACCUUCGGGCCUCUUGCCAUCGGAUGUGCCCAGAUGGGAUUAGCUAGUAGGUGGGGUAACGGCUCACCUAGGCGACGAUCCCUAGCUGGUCUGAGAGGAUGACCAGCCACACGGGAACUGAGACACGGUCCAGACUCCUACGGGAGGCAGCAGUGGGGAAUAUUGGACAAUGGGCGCAAGCCUGAUGCAGCCAUGCCGCGUGUAUGAAGAAGGCCUUCGGGUUGUAAAGUACUUUCAGCGGGGAGGAAGGGAGUAAAGUUAAUACCUUUGCUCAUUGACGUUACCCGCAGAAGAAGCACCGGCUAACUCCGUG